rnacentral:rRNA from 1 species
AGAGUUUGAUCCUGGCUCAGGACGAACGCUGGAGGCGCGCCUAACACAUGCAAGUCGAACGGAGCUUUAUUCCGGAAGUUUUCGGAUGGAAGGGAUAAAGCUUAGUGGCGGACGGGUGAGUAACACGUGAGCAACCUGCCCUUUGGAGGGGAAUAACGUCUGGAAACGGACGCUAAUACCGCAUAAUGUGGGAGAGGGACAUCCCUUUUCCACCAAAGAUUUUAUCGCCAAAGGAUGGGCUCGCGUCCGAUUAGAUAGUUGGCGGGAUAACAGCCCACCAAGUCGACGAUCGGUAGCCGGACUGAGAGGUUGAACGGCCACAUUGGGACUGAGACACGGCCCAG